AUUUAAUAGACGCUGAAUCUAAAAGAGCGGGGGAACCGUUUCCUAGGGGUGAAUCUCAAUUAAUAUUGAGUAGGGAUAGACCUUCUGUCCGAAUCCGUCAGCUAACCUCGUAAGCGUUAAAAUGGAGGUAUU
rnacentral:sRNA from 2 species